CAUAUAAUAUGUGUGUAUGUAUGUGUGUGUAUAUAUAUAUAUAUAUGUAUAUAUAUAUAUAUAUAUAUAUACAUAUAUAUAUAUAUACAUAUAUAUAUAUAUAUAUACACACACAUACAUACACACAUAUUAUAUG